UCAGCGUGGUGUUACACAGUCAACAGCAUAUGUGAAACUGAAGCCCUCGUGCAAGAAGAGCUUAAGAGUAUGGUUACAUUCCUUCUGCAGAAGUGCUGAAUGCAGGCCAAAGAGUUUAUGUGGGACAUGGAAGCGCUGCACGGAUCUCAUUCUGCCAGUUGGCACAGAGAAGAAUUUUGUGGUGCAUGCUUAAGUGGAAGAACAUUAACUCAAAAAGCUGGGAACCUGCCAGGAUACCAGGAUCAGUACCUUCUGCCUUCUGAAUUCCUCUGCAGUUCGAAGUGGAGACGUCAUUGCUAGUUUUCUUUCCUAAAAUCCAUUGUGACUGUUAAGUAAGGCUGCUGUUCACCUGGAAUUACGUUCCGUGCCUCUGAGAUAAUUACAUUUUAAAUGGUGAAAAAAGUGACUCACUUUUGAUUUACCUCGUUAUUAGCUAGAUCGUUAAUCCUGCUCAUUAGAGCAGACCACGUGAUGGAGCCUACCACCACUGUACCUCUAGCAAAGGCCUUAUGCACUCACUGAACUUGGGCUGGGAGAACCAAAUCCUGCAUUGACACAAAGGAUGUGUUUGAACAGGUGAGCAGCACUGUUCGACAGGUUUAGAACAGCUUAUCCACUUUGAAGACCAGAAGAGACAUCCACAUCAUGUAGCCUGAACUCUUAAAUUAAUAGGUUAAAAAAACACCUCUAGUAGUUCUUUUUUGACGAAUAAAUUGUGGAACUGUACUUUCCAUGAAGGCCUCUAAUAUCAUUUUAAGGUAGAGUAAGUGAAGGAAAACUCACCUCUCACUGAACUGAUCCACUGGUUAACUACAUUCAGCUAAAAUGCAAACUUCAUGCAAAAACUGAAUGUACUAAAUACACUGAAAUCUAUGAGACAUUUAUGAAUAUAAUCAAUUAUAUUUUAAGAACACUUGCAGAUGGAACUUGCAGAAUAUUUUAUUUGGUUUGUUGGUUUUGUCAGUAGAAGUUUUUAUGAGCUUCACGUCUUGAUUUAUUAAACAGACAAAAUAAUGAA